CCGGCCUCCCAGUCACCUUGCCUACCCCGAGAGCAGAGUCUCCAGUCCAUCUGCCUGGCUGGACUUGGCUGGAUCCUCUUUGGCAGCUGGGAGUCACAGGCAGCCUGAGAGCUAUGCUGCAGCAGCUUGACUCCCAGUCCACUCAGCAAGGACCCCAGAGCUCAGGCUUGCUGGGAACCUGGGUUGAGACUUCUUGGGUUUCUUUCCAGUCUCUACCAUCAGAGUGCCGGUUCCUGGAGUGAGGAAUGAAGCUUGGCAGGUAUAAACCCAUGUCAUUUUCGCUUUUCUGAAUUGCUGGCCGAUCAUCAGGACCAGAGGAGCACAUAAAUGGGCGUGAAAGUUAAACAUUAUCUCAGGAUCUCAUCAUCCCUGCUGAAGUCAGAGAGCCCAUUUCAAUGUGACAUCUCCCAAGGCCGUACCUGGCCUACAGAGGACCGCCUACGCAGACAGAGCUUUGCAAGGAUACUGCCCUCUGGAAGAUGGCCUCCUGCCCCCAGGCUGCAGCACCUGUGGGACCCAGGGAGCAUCUCUCUAAAACUGGAGUGCAGACAAAGCCUCAGCUUGCCCACAGUCACCCCCCACUUCAUUUGAAUAUUCUGAAUGGAGCUGAUUGCCUAAAUUGAAGGUAUUAUGCGAUAAUGAUUGUUAUAAUUAAAACUAUUAUCAUCUGAAAGAGAUCAGAACAUGGGAAAACCACUGCAAAGACUUUUAAAGCUUUUAAAGCAUGUUUUUGAUUCAGAUAAAAGCGCCUUUGUGUGGAUGUUUUAAAGAGGGGGA